GGGGUUUUUCGAACACGUGUAAGCACAGAAAAUUUUCUAUUUUUUUUCUCUUUUCUCUCUUUUCUUUUCUCUCUGUUCUUUCUUUCUCGACUUCUCUUUUGGCGAUUGAAAGUUGAAACCGUCCUCACGGCAUCUCCUCCGGCUUCUCUGGUCUCCUCCGGCUUCUCUGAUCUCUUCACGGCGUCUCUUUUUCUCCAUUGAGAAUCACAGAAGAGAUUGAGAUGUCAACACCAGCAAGGAAGAGACUUGUGAGGGAUUCCAGGAGGUUGCUGCAAGAUCCUCCUGCUGGUAUCAGUGGUGCUCCUCUAACAACAACAUCUUGCUCUGGAACGCUGUCAUCUUCGGCCCAGAUGAUACGCCUAGGGAUGGAGUUGAACAGAACUUACAGAACCAAUGGAGUCCCAUCUAUGUAUCUCUUUCUUUGUCGACAAAGCCGUUGCUAUCAUGUUGGAUAUGAAGGUUGAUAUCAUAUAAGAUGUUCAACAGAAGUCACAAGGCGUUCAUUCAAAUCAAAAGAAGUCACGAGAUUUGUUGUAUAUAUUUGUUGUAUAUGCAAUUCACGAGUAUUGUCUGUAUGUUAGAUACAUGUUGGUUUUGGUUCUUCUCUCCUUCUCUAUAUAAAGUUGUGAUUCACCAAGCAUUUUAUUCACACAGUCUCAUUAUCUCCUUCUCACCAAACAACUUUCAUUCUUUCUUCUCACCAAACAAGUUUCAUUAUCUCUCUUUGAUCACAAAUAUUAUUCACAAAUGUUUUUUUCAGAUUAUUUUCGAUUAUUGUACUAAUCUUUAUUUUUAUGUUGUUUUUCAAAUCUAUGUUUUAAUGUUAUCUUUUAAUAUGUUUUAUUUAAUAAAUAAAUUUUAUCUUUUAAAAAAAUUAAUAAUUUUUUUCUAAGAACCUUUAACUAAGAAACUCCCAUUGGACCAUUCAAAAUAGAAGUUUCUUAACUUAAAUUCUUAGGUUAAUUUUAUUAAUUAAAAAUUAUUAAGAAACCCAUAAGAGGUGAUAGGGAUAAUCAUGCUCUAAGGAUAUAGGAGAGGUUUUUGAGAGUACUCUUAUAUUAUUCUAAGAGGGAAGAACAAAGCACACACAUUUGCUGUUUGAAGACGUUGGGAUCUGUGUUCUUAUCGAGAAAGACAUUUCUUUAAUUUAUUCACUUCUUUUCAAAAAAUAAUUUAUUUUGGGUUUUAGCCCUACAAAUCCCCACCUUCCACAUAUUAUAUGUUUUUUUGUAAAGCAUCUAUAUACAUUUCAAAGCUAAUACAUUGUUAUGGGUUAUGGCUUGACUAAUGGAUAUGAGUCAUAUGAGAUAUCAGUUCCAAUACAGCUAUCAGUAAAACACACAGAACACUUGUAGGGAGUAUCAUAUUAAAUUUUCCAAAAUAUAUCAAAAUACAUUUUAAAGUUUAUAACUUUUUUUUGUUAGGACAUUCAAACGCACUCUCGAAACAUUUUAUAAAUUGUAUUCCAUUAGGCUUUAACAUUUUUUAUAACUCAUUUCGAAACACACAAAAAGUUAAAUAUUGAAAUGAAUCGUUUUACUUAUGGUGAACAUACAUAAUACAUAUCAUUUUUUUAUCAAAACAUAAUACAUAUCAUAUUAUUUAUUUUUUGAACAUUACAUAUUAUAUUAUUGGGAAAAAGAAAUACGAAUACAAACCUAUAAACAGACAAAAGGUUAAAGAAAAGUCCAAAAUUUCUCUUCAGCGACCGUAGAAAUUACGACGAAAAUUUUGGUCACGGCUCUAAAUGACCCGACAUAUAUAACUCUGGAUCAUUUGAGCUGCAUCUUUUUAUAUCGUUAUCUUCCAAAAUCCUCAAACCAAGUGGGUCGCUACUCGUAUUUAUAUUUGAUUUUGUAAAACAUGAGACAAUAAUAUGUGUACACAAUGCUGUCUCUAUAUAUGUGACAUGUUUGUAUAUUCAGCAACAAAUUAUAUUAAGAGUUUAAUAACAUGUUGAGUUUUUUUUUUUUUUUGAUCAAAUAACAUGUUGAGUUAAGGAGAUUUUUUUGGAAAAGGACGAACUAGAUCCCAAUGCACGAAACGAAUAAAUUGUUUUCCAAUAAUAUGUAACUAGAAAGAAAUCAGUUGGUUAGAACUUAGAACAUUUUUCAUAGAUUAUAAUUUUUGGAAAACUAAGUUAUAUACGUACGUAAUGUGCAUGUGUGUGUGUAUACAUGUUACGAGUUUGAUUUUUAGGUGUACAGUGAGAACUCUAACUAGAUCUCUAUAAAGUCUUACGUACAGUAAACCUCAAACAUACGUAGGCCCUAUGAUCUCUGCCACGACCAGCUGUAACGUAGGAUAAGACACCUAUACGGCGCCGUUUUGCUGAAGAACCACCCAUCCAUCUUUAAUCACUUUGACUUAUUAUGCAUCAGAGCUUUCCAAUUUUAAAAUGGAAAUAGUUUAGUCAAUAUUGAUCAAUAUUUUGUGUUGCCGUCGGAAUAUACAAAAAAUAGUAGCCAAAUUUUUGAACAAAACAUAAAUUUGUGUAUGGAAUCGUUUUAGACGUUUUUUUUUUAAUCGUUUUAGACGUUGGUAUAUAUUUGGUUUCGUUUUUCCAUUCUUAAUUUCUUAUUGUAACUAACGCAUUUUUUGUCUUUUAAUUCCGAUUAUCUUUAUCAUCUUUCAUUAAACCUAAACUAUAAGUCUAUAACUAAGUUCGGUCACUGUACUAAUUUCAUAACUCUGCUUAUAUCGAAGCAGUUUGGUUUAUCAUUGUUAAACCUUAUAUUUUUAUACUUUUACAUUACUUUAUUAAUCUUUCAUAAGAGUAUUUCCCAGUAAUCUAAAAUUUUAAGAAAGAAAAAAAAAUUAUGCUUAUACCUUACCACUAGAAGUCUAGAAACAUUUUCUUUCUGUUGGAUAAUUUUCCUUUAAACGUAUUGUCGUCGGUCAAAUACCUGCAGCAUGCAGCAGAGGGAAUUCAAAUGAGAAUUAUAUACAACAAUUAUUAUUUCUCGACUUAGAACCGCCAUUUUUAAUGACAUAAGAGCAAACCCUAAUGGGGUUUUUCAACCAAAGGUUUUAAAAAUACAUAUAUAUGUAUUUUAAAAAGCUCAUGCUAAUAAAUCCCCAUUGGGUUUGCUCUAGCAGUCUUGAUCGAUACAGAUUUUUGUUUAUUAAAAUAAAAUAUUUGGUUAACUGAUAUUUUUUACGUUAAGACAUGUAAUAAUUUACCCCUAUCAGAUUUUAUUUAUUUAAAUGUUCUCAGUUUCUUCUGUGUUAAAAAGAUUUCUCUGAUUAAACACUUUUGAUCAAAGUUAAUAUUUGCCUAAUGAUGGAUUAAGCGGUGGUAACCUUUAAUGGACAAAAACUUUUAUUUUAAUGAUUAAAGCAUUAAAAUUAAUUAUCUUUUAAAUGAAUAUAUUAAAGGGACAAAUAAACUUUAUAUUACAUACGAUCAACUAUAAAUAUGAAUCAACUAAAAAUGAAAUCAACAUAACCUUAGAAUAAGAUAAGAGAUAUCAGGUAAAGUUAAGGAAGAAUAAUUAUUGAUAAGAUGUUUACCAAACAAUAGUAUCAUUAAAUAAUAGAACCGGAAAAGCAAUAAUUUGAGAUUACAAAAGAAAUUACGUAAGAUAAUUUUUUUUUUUUGCAUGAAAGUGAUUACAAGAGACAGAUUUUCUAGUGUGGAUGAUUUUGUUGGAAGGAAAAAAGGUAGUGGGAGCAGUUGUUUUGGAGGGAAAUCAUAUGCACGUAGAGGUCCCUCGUUCCUUCCUUUGGUUUUGGUAAUGAUUAACAAUUCCACCAAACAUCAAAAUUAAUAGUGGCUUUAUAUCCAAUUAGUUUUAGUUUUAUUGGGUCCGACUGGUAUUUUUAUGUCUUUUUCAUGAUACUUGUCUUUAUUUUUCCUUGAAUCGUAAAUGAAUUUCGAAAGUUAUAAUCAAGCCACAGAUAGCUGACAAAGAAAUAAUCAAACGACGAGAUAAACAAAAUGUCAACAUCCUCCCAAUUCGCGACUGAGAAGGCAAACGGAAAACGCCACAUGAGAUCUCUCACCAUUUACUUAUUUUCUGUUACCAGGCGAAGCAGCUGUAGAUCUUCGAGACAGAGACGACUCUUUGGCCUUAUGGUGACUUUUGAAUGACUAUUGUACCCGUGAAAUAUUCAUAGUCAUUGGUUUCGAUUAUAAAUUAAAUAGUCAUUGCAGAUUUAUAAGGCCUUAAUGAAAUGUAAUGAAAUGUGGAAGUAUAUUUAGAUAGAUACUAAGACAUACAGUUAGGCUAGAACUUAAAAUUUGGAAGAAUCUAAUGAAUACAUAUACUUUAAUUUUAUUAAUCUUAGUAGUGACGAAAAAAUAUAAACUUUGUAAUAUACUAGUAUAUAUUGUUUCAAAUUGGACGUUGUUUAUGAUUUUUUCACGCAGAUUAAUUUUUAUCUUUUUUUAUAAUUUUAAUAAUUUAUUUAAUUUAAUUAAGGAUAAAAUAGAUAAAUUAAUGUAAAAUUUGCAAUGACACUAAUUUGUUAAAAAAGGUUUUAUUAUACAACAAAAUUUAAUUAAAGAAAAAAUAUAUAACUAAAGAUGUCAUUAGAUUUCUUCAAACAUCUUAAGUUAUAGUUACAUUGAGAUUUGCACCUUAUGUUCAAGUAAGAAAUACACCAGAAUAUAGGUGUGAUUGGUAAUUUCAAGAUUUAAAAGAGGAUUGUAAAAAGAGAAAAUGAGAGAAAAAAUGUGAAAAAGGAAAAAAUAUUGUUACCCUCCUCACAUCUAGAAUAAUAAUGAAAGUGUAUUUUUCUCAAAUUAAACAGUAACUAAGAGAAAAUAUAAUUCCAAUUUAUUGAGAAUUUUAUGGAGUAAACUAGAUUUUAAAGGGCAGAAUUUUUUCAAUUUAAAAUCUAAUUUGAAUUUUUAAAUAAAUAAUAUAUUGUUGUAAGUAUUAUAAGUUUCAUUUUUAUUUUUUAUACCAACAAAUCAACUAUUGUUUGGCUUUUUAAUUGUACAAUAAAUUAUUUUAAUUAUAUUUGAGCUUGUGAAUUAAUUUUAAAUUAUUAAAACCAUAUUUUGAUUAGUUAAUUAAAUGGGCUGACCUGUGUUUCUUACCAUUUAUAUAUAUUUCAUAUAUAAAUAUGUGAUUGUUACCAUCUAGCUAAAAUUGUUAUCAUUUAGUUUAUUGAUUGUUACUAUUAAUACCUAUAACAAGAUACUAUUAUUUAUUUAUUGAAAGGUUUUAUAACAAUAUAAUGUAUGUUUUUAAACAAAUGUUUUAUAAUGAUGUAUUGUUACCAUAUAAACAUUAAUAUCUUAUUAAAAAUUGUAAAACAUUAAAGUUGGCCCAAAGUGAUUAAAUAUGAAAAAUGGUUGUUAAAAAUUCCAGAUGGAUCUUCUUGUAGUAAAUAAAGAGGACCGUGUGAGAUCCAGUUUUGUUAUAGUUAUGCUUUUCUAAAUUUUUCAGAGUAUUACGAUAUUACCGAACCAGUAAUUUAUGUACCGUGUAAUUAUCAAUGAUGUAUACUUUGAAGUCCUAAAUGCUACAGUAGAAAUAUAUAGUAAUUCAGUUGAAAUAAUUUUUUUUGUCAACGAAAUAAUUAAAUUUAUUAACCAUAAAUAUAAAAAUGACAUAGAAUUGUAAAUAAGUUUAAAAUGCAUGAGCAUAAUUCUAUUACAAGUUUUACUUUAAUAGUAUAGAUGAUAUAAAUAAUUUUUUCACUUACUUUGCUUACUCUGUUAAUGCUGUACAAUCUAAUUCUUUUUUUUUUUACUUAGAUAGUAAUUCAUAUUUUUCACUUAACAUCACCAAUCGCUUAAAACAAAUUUAUACAUGUUAAUUCCCUCAGAAUCACGACAUUUGCUUAAAUAAUUACAGCCACACAAAUCCACGAAUAACAUUCUGGUCCAGCUUUUUGGGUAUGGAUUUGAAUAAAACUAGCUCUAUCUAAGAAUCUACAAUCAAGUGCAACAUAUAGAACUAUCCAUAAAAGCAGAAACAUUUGGUUGGUUAUGUCAUCUAUAUUAAUGUUAUAACCCAUUUAAAUGGAUAAUUUCAAUUAAAAAGUAUAUAUCGUAUCUCAUAUGAACACAUGUACAAAAAAGUUGCUCGCAGGGAUCAAUGUUUAAGCUUUUAGAAAUUAGGACCACUGUUAUUUACAUAAUUACCCGAACAAGACAGAAAUGCAGGAGAUUUUGCAUGUAUGGUGAAAGAGAAAGGAGAAACACAAUAAUAGACAAAUCAUUAAAAUCAAGAUAAAUAAUUAAAUUAAAUCUUACAUACAUCUAACACUAUUAAAAAAAGGAGAAUAAGAAACCUCCUAAACUACGCCACCUCAGCAAAAAAUUCACAACCUAUCAAAUUGCCAUGUCAUCAUAAAUAACAAAAAAAAUUCAUGUCAUCACAAAUAACAAAAAAAAAAUUCUUUUACGUCAAUUUAUUAUUUUGCGAUCUAUCUUUUCGUUUUCUUCCUCAAAUCAAUUUAUCCCUUUAAUAUUCAUCUUCUCAAUCCUAGGCGGAUCUGAUUCCGAUCUAUGUUUCUCUGUUACUUGAUUCGAUUACUCUGUUACUAUGUUCUUUGUUACUGUUACUUGCUUUGUCUCAUCGAUCAUUAACGAUCGUGAGCGGGAAGAUCAAGGGGAUUCAGAUUCGUGACCUUCAAGGAUGAGAAAUCGAUGAGGGAUGCUAUUGAUGAGAUGAACGGAAAGGAGCUCAACGGACGUACCAUCACCGUCAACGAGUCUCAGUCUAGAGGAAGCGGCGGUGGAGGAGGCCGUGGUGGAGGUGAAUACGGUGGCCGUGGAGGUGGCGGUAUGACACUUUUAGCUUUUCCGAUUUAUUAACGGUUGAUUCAUAUAUAAGAUUGAACGAUGGCCAAAUUAGAUUCUCACUUUCUCUCGCUAUUAGAUUUCUGGAUUAUGAUCGUAUUGGUUUCAACCCCCAAAAUCAAUGCGUGGAAGGAUUCAUAUUUGUUAUCCUCAUGUAAUUUUAAGUUAGUUCUCUCAUUAUUGUAUCUUUUCGCAUGAACAUUGUAAUUGAAAGUGAGUAUGUAUGUCUUUUUUGUAGAUUGUGGAUCUCUGGAUCAACAUGGGUUUUGCAAGGGACAAAAUCUGGGUAAUCGAUGACAAUCUAACUUUACGAGUUCUUAAAAUCAUCAUUAGUUGAUCUUCAUCUCAAACCAUCAGAAGAGGACUUAAAGCAAUGGUCUGACAGGUAAAAGUAAAACCAUCAUCAUCCUUUUAUGUUCUUUAUCUUUAUAGAUUCUGAAUUUUAUAUGUGUGUUUCCUUUUUGAGUUAUGGGUUUCACUUGCUAUAGAUGGCCACUCAACAUUGAUUUCUUUAGAACAUCAAUGGAAAACCCUUCAGAUUCUUAUUUGCAUAUAUCAAACUUACCUUGCUGUCUUAGAUAUAAGGUUGUUUGUACUCUUUAUAAAAUAUAUAUUAUCAGCAAAAUAUUCUGUGUUUAAUGAAUAUUCUACGUGAAACUUCAGAUUUAUUAUUUACUCAAGUAACUUCAUCUGUUAGGGUUUUUUUUAACAAUAAGUCCUCAGGCAGAAGACACAAUAUAUAUAUAUAUUCACUUUGUAGUGUGAUGUAAUACAGUCUCUUGCAUCAUCAAAAUCUAAUAAAAUUUGAAGAUUUACAAUUUUUGUAUUGAUGAUCUACUCACUAACAAAAUUUGUAUUUGCUUAUUUCUUUCGGGUUUAUGAGUCACACCGGUGAAGUGUGAGAAGAGUUUGGAUGGUCGUUGUCGUCCUCCACAGAGGUUUUGGUAGAAGAGAUGAGGACAGCGGAGCGACAGAGAGGGCAAGUGGUGUGAGAACAGAGCCAAAGGUGAAUACAAUCAAAAUGAAAUAUGUGUUUGCAUGAAGGCAUUUCCACCAACUCUUCCUUUAACUCAAAUUCUCACAAACAUACGCAACAUCUGCACCAAUUUUUCAUUAAAUUAGUCAAACUUUAGAUUUACCAAAACAAGCAACAACCAAAGAUAAUAUUAAACACAAAGACAUGAAACU